rnacentral:rRNA from 1 species
AUUGAACGCUGGCGGCAGGCCUAACACAUGCAAGUCGAACGAGUGGCGGACGGGUGAGUAAUGUCUGGGAAACUGCCUGAUGGCGGGGGAUAACUACUGGAAACGGUAGCUAAUACCGCAUACCAUCAGAUGUACCCAUAUGGGAUUAGCUAGUUGGGGGGGUAAAGGCUCACCAAGGCGACGAUCCCUAUCUGGUUUGAGAGGAUGACCAGCCACACUGGAACUGAGACACGGUCCAGACGCCUACGGGAGGCAGCAGUGGGGAAUAUUGCACAAUGGGCGCAAGCCUGAUGCAGCCAUGCCGCGUGUAUGAAGAAGGCCUUCGGGUUGUAAAGUACUUUCAGCGGGGAGGCGUUACCCGCAGAAGAAGCACCGGCUAACUCCGUGCCAGCAGCCGCGGUAAUAC